rnacentral:rRNA from 1 species
UACGUAGGGGGCUAGCGUUGUCCGGAAUCAUUGGGCGUAAAGAGCGUGUAGGCGGCCCGGUAAGUCCGCCGUGAAAGUCGGGGGCUCAACCCUCGAAUGCCGGUGGAUACUGUCGGGCUAGAGUGCGGAAGAGGCGAGUGGAAUUCCUGGUGUAGCGGUGAAAUGCGCAGAUAUCAGGAGGAACACCAAUUGCGAAGGCAGCUCGCUGGGACGUAACUGACGCUGAGACGCGAAAGCGUGGGGAGCAAACAGG